rnacentral:rRNA from 1 species
UACGUAGGGUGCGAGCGUUGUCCGGAAUUACUGGGCGUAAAGAGCUCGUAGGUGGUUUGUCGCGUUGUUCGUGAAAACUCACAGCUUAACUGUGGGCGUGCGGGCGAUACGGGCAGACUGGAGUACUGCAGGGGAGACUGGAAUUCCUGGUGUAGCGGUGAAAUGCGCAGAUAUCAGGAGGAACACCGGUGGCGAAGGCGGGUCUCUGGGCCGAUACUGACGCUGAGGAGCGAAGGCGUGGGGAGCGAACAGG